rnacentral:lncRNA from 1 species
GAUAAAUAAUCAAGUAGGUGGACACAGAUGUUAAUCCUAACUCGAACGAUGAGGUCGAUAAGGAGGUAUAUCUGAAUGGCCUUGUGUAAAAGACUCCAUGAAUUUCUGGAACUGCUCUCGGAGCAAUCGCGAAUCCUCCUGUGACUGCUCUCGAGCAAAACGUGACUCCUCCUGUGAUGCACGAAUCAAUUCCUCGUUAGUCUUCAACCGCUCCUUGAGUUCCAUGUUUUCAGCUGACAUUUUAGAUAUUACAGUCCUCAUAUGCUCAUAUUUAGAUGGUG